rnacentral:rRNA from 1 species
GAUGAACGCUGGCGGCGUGCCUAAUACAUGCAAGUCGAGCGAACAGACGAGGAGCUUGCUCCUCUGACGUUAGCGGCGGACGGGUGAGUAACACGUGGAUAACCUACCUAUAAGACUGGGAUAACUUCGGGAAACCGGAGCUAAUACCGGAUAAUAUAUUCAACCGCAUGGUUCAAUAGUGAAUGACGGUUUUGCUGUCACUUAUAGAUGGUUCCGCGCCGCAUUAGCUAGUUGGUAAGGUAACGGCUUACCAAGGCGACGAUGCGUAGCCGACCUGAGAGGGUGAUCGGCCACACUGGAACUGAGACACGGUCCAGACUCCUACGGGAGGCAGCAGUAGGGAAUCUUCCGCAAUGGGCGAAAGCCUGACGGAGCAACGCCGCGUGAGUGAUGAAGGUCUUCGGAUCGUAAAACUCUGUUAUUAGGGAAGAACAAAUGUGUAAGUAACUAUGCACGUCUUGACGGUACCUAAUCAGAAAGCCACGGCUAACUACGUG